ensembl:snRNA U6 U6 spliceosomal RNA
GUGCUUACUUCAGGGACACAUACACUAAAAUUAUGAUAUAAUAUAGCAAAGAUUAGCUUGGCUCCUGCACCAAGAUAAUUCACAAGUUUUUGAAGCAUUCCAUAUUUGA